rnacentral:tRNA from 1 species
GCCCGGAUGGUGGAAUCGGUAGACACAAGGGAUUUAAAAUCCCUCGGCGUUCGUGCUGUGUGGGUUCAAGUCCCACUCCGGGUACCA